rnacentral:rRNA from 1 species
AACGAACGCUGGCGGCAUGCCUAACACACGCAAGUCGAACGAGACCUUCGGGUCUAGUGGCGCAAGGGUGCGUAACGCGUGGGAACCUGCCCUUAGGUUUGGAAUAACUCCCCGAAAGGGGUGCUAAUACCGGAUAAUGUCUUCGGACCAAAGAUUUAUCGCUUUUGGAUGGGCCCGCGUUGGAUUAGCUAGUUGGUAGGGUAAACGCCUACCAAGGCUACGAUCCAUAGCUGGUCUGAGAGGAUGAUCAGCCACACUGGGACUGAGACACGGCCCAGACUCCUACGGGAGGCAGCAGUGGGGAAUAUUGGACAAUGGGCGAAAGCCUGAUCCAGCAAUGCCGCGUGAGUGAUGAAGGCCUUAGGGUUGUAAAGCUCUUUUACCCGGGAUGAUAAUGACAGUACCGGGAGAAUGAGCUCCGGCUAACUCCGUG